CCUACGGGAGACAGCAGUGAGGAAUAUUGGUCAAUGGCCGGAAGGCUGAACCAGCCAUGCCGCGUGAAGGUCAGUGCCCUAUGGGCGUUAAACUUCUUUUGUGCGGGAGCAAUAUUGGUCACGUGUGGCCAGACGAGAGUACCGUACGAAUAAGCAUCGGCUAACUCCGUGCCAGCAGCCGCGGUAAUACGGGGGAUGCAAGCGUUAUCCGGAUUUAGUGGGUUUAAAGGGUGCGUAGGCUGUGAGGUAAGUCAGCGGGGGAAUGCCCCCGCUCAACGGGGUGAAGUGCCAUUGAUACUGCCUUGCUGGAGUGCGGAUGCGGUGGGAGGAAUGUGUGGUGUAGCGGUGAAAUGCAUAGAUAUCACACAGAACACCGAUUGCGAAGGCAUCUCAC
rnacentral:rRNA from 1 species